rnacentral:lncRNA from 1 species
AUGAAUUAGAAUGUUAUUUUUCCAACUCAAUAUCGUUUUCAUACUUUAAAAUAGAGAUAAUGAGUGGGAGAAAAUCAAUUCAUUUAAAUUCAAGUUAAAAGAAAAGAUAUCCUGAACGCUGACAAAAAUUUAUCUAUAUGCCUUUGGCCUAGUGAUAGUGAGCUUGUUGUACUUGCAAAGAGGUUACGGGUUCAAACCCUCCCUCUGGAGCAUUUGAGCUUAAAAAGUCCCAUUACAAAAGGAGACCAGUCCCAUUACAAAAGGAGACCAGAGUAGCUUCUUAUCUUUGUAGUAAAGGCCAAUUCAGUCUCUCGUGGUAACAAGACUCCCUAUCCAGCUAACUCCUAAAUAUGGCUGUAUAUUUAAGAGAAAGAGUUAGAGUUGAAUAGAUAACAUUGAGAUUCUUACCAUAUCUAUUGCAUCCAAAUCAAAUCAAUGGCUAAAAAUUUUUGUAUAUCUUUUUUGUGAGAGAAAAAAGGUAAUUCAUCUAAAUUGUAAAAAUAUCAAUUCUUUUGCCAACAUCUUUUUACCAAUUUCAAGUUGAUGGAACACACAUUACUAACAAUUUGGGGUUUUCUUGCUUACAUGGCAUUUUGGUCUCUCAGUUUAAAAAAAUAGGGGAAGGCAAAAACCCGGAUGACCUAGUCAAAAACCCGGCAAUAUUUGUACAAAUAUUCAUAGUUUUAAAGCUGGCCGGGCAGGCUGGAACCGGGCCGGGUUUAAAAAAUAGGGGAAGGCAAAAACCCGGAUGACCUAGUCAAAAACCCGGGUUGACCCGGUGACCUGGCAAGAACCAGUCAAAAACCUAGUUGCAACCCCUUGACUAUUUAUUUAUUUUUAACAAAAACGACAUCGUUUUGUUUUUUAAAAAAUUGACCCUGGAUGUCC